CCUGGGCGAGGUCCCCGGUUCAAUCCCGGGUUCGGGCCGCCCGGAUGGUCUAGUGGUAUGAUUCGCCCUUAGGGAA
rnacentral:tRNA from 1 species